AUUAGGCUUGAGCUGAACUGGACAGCACAACAUACUGAUCUCCAGCACAGCUUACAGACUGCAUGGAGAUGGCAAAAGGCACAUAGAAAUGGAUAUGGAUCCCCUUUGGUGAUGGCUUCUUGAAACAUUGAGAGCAGUCCAUAGCAAAAAUUUAACGUAAACCCACCAAUGCAGCACCUGCUUGGAGCUGUGCUUCUAAUAUCUUAGAAGAGGGGGUUCCAAAGAAAAUUUUUUUGCACCAUCAUCUAAUAUAUAGUGGUAGGAGUAGCCAAUUCAUUAUAUGUAUUGUACUGAUAAUAGCUUAAUAAUAUGAUGCCCA
rnacentral:misc_RNA from 1 species